UACGUAGGGGGCAAGCGUUGUCCGGAAUCAUUGGGCGUAAAGCGCACGUAGGCGGCUUUUUAAGUCAGGGGUGAAAUCCUGGAGCUCAACUCCAGAACUGCCUUUGAUACUGGGAAGCUUGAGUCCGGGAGAGGUGAGUGGAACUCCGAGUGUAGAGGUGAAAUUCGUAGAUAUUCGGAAGAACACCAGUGGCGAAGGCGGCUCACUGGCCCGGUACUGACGCUGAGGUGCGAAAGCGUGGGGAGCAAACAGG
rnacentral:rRNA from 1 species